rnacentral:lncRNA from 1 species
CACCCUUGAAGAUCAAUUCCAACCAGAAUCAAAUCCUUGCUCGACGGCUAUUUAUAUGGUCGAGGUAAAAUAAAUUCAAAUAACUUAUGGCAAAUUGGACUAGUUUGGGCUUCUAAUAGUUGCAUGUUGCUCAUCUAAAAUUGGUCUUCAAUAAGACGAAGCCAGAAUUUUUGAUGCCUCAUGGCAGCCCAAACCCACUUAUUCCUUGAGCCC